GAGAGCCGUAUGCUUUGGAAGAAGCUUGUACAGUUUGGGAAGGGGUUUUUUGAGAGAAAAGAAGAAUCUACUUCAAC
rnacentral:ncRNA from 1 species